CAGCCGCCACGGUAACACGUAGGGUGCAAGCGUUAAUCGGAAUUACUGGGCGUAAAGCGUGCGCAGGCGGUUCGCUAAGACAGAUGUGAAAUCCCCGGGCUUAACCUGGGAACUGCAUUUGUGACUGGCGGGCUAGAGUAUGGCAGAGGGGGGUAGAAUUCCACGUGUAGCAGUGAAAUGCGUAGAGAUGUGGAGGAAUACCGAUGGCGAAGGCAGCCCCCUGGGCCAAUACUGACGCUCAUGCACGAAAGCGUGGGGAGCAAACAGGAUUAGAUACCCCUGUAGUCCCUGUCUCUUAUAC
rnacentral:rRNA from 1 species